rnacentral:rRNA from 1 species
GUGCCAGCCGCCGCGGUAAUACGGAGGAUGCGAGCGUUAUCCGGAUUCAUUGGGUUUAAAGGGUGCGUAGGCGGCUUUUUAAGUCAGUGGUGAAAUCCUGCCGCUUAACGGUAGAAUUGCCAUUGAUACUGAAGAGCUUGAGUACAGUUGAGGUAAGCGGAAUGUGUAGUGUAGCGGUGAAAUGCUUAGAUAUUACACAGAACACCAAUUGCGAAGGCAGCUUACUAAACUGGCAACUGACGCUGAUGCACGAAAGCGUGGGGAGCGAACAGGAUUAGAAACCCCAGUAGUCC